AUUCUGAAAAUACACUCUCACGUACUCAACUGACUGGAUGAGAAUGCAUCUGGCCGGACGAAGCAGAAGCAAACCCACAGAAAGAAAUCCCCACAAACUGUCUUCCAGAAUGACCACGCCGCAGCCUCCCAAGGUCGCCUGAUCCCCUCCGACUCUGUAACAAGCACGCUCGCUCCACAGGGAGCCCAGGGCCCUUUCCGGAAGAGACGGGGCCCCAGACAAAAAGUUAAAUGGAUUUAAAUGUAAGCAGGUCUAAAAAGAAAGCAGAGUUUCCUUUUAGAAGCUUAAGAAAACAAUUAGAAAUAAAAGGAGGCCAGAAAGCACAGUUAAUGAAGGGGCCCGAGAAGCAAAGGCGAUGGGGAAAUUCACCCGCUUCACGAACACUUUUGCAAGGGCGAGACGGAGGGACCGCACCCAGAGCUCUUCUGACCUUGCCCUUGACUCACUGGGCUCUCACAGCUCACAUCCGCCCUCCGGGUGAGCUUAAAGUCGCCGCUCCAUGGAAAUGUUUGUUCUGCCUCUGGAGCAGAAGACACCGCUUCUGGUGGCCCUGGUGGCCCUGUCUCUGGGGCUCUGAGGUCCUGCCAGGCCAGGAGGAGGCUCUCUUCUUGUCUCACGAGCAGGAUUCGUCCAUGUUAUUUAUGAGAGGAAAGCAAGCUCACUAGCAGUCAUUCCAUUGGAGCCAGAAGCAGACCUCUACCGUAUGCAUUUCACAAGGUAAAGAGCAUUAAAUUGAUUUUACUGCGAGUAUUUGAGAGGGAGAUAAGGUUAGAUGAUACAUUC
ensembl:lncRNA